rnacentral:rRNA from 1 species
ACCGGGAGAGGUAAGAGGUACUACAGGGGUAGGAGUGAAAUCUUGUAAUCCCUGUGGGACCACCUGUGGCGAAGGCGUCUUACCAGAACGGGUUCGACGGUGAGGGACGAAAGCUGGGGGCACGAACCGGAUUAGAUACCCGGGUAGUCCCAGCCGUAAACGAUGCUCGCUAGGUGUCAGGCAUGGCGCGACCGUGUCUGGUGCCGCAGGGAAGCCGUGAAGCGAGCCACCUGGGAAGUACGGCCGCAAGGCUGAAACUUAAAGGAAUUGGCGGGGGAGCACAACAACGAGUGGAGCCCUGCGGUUUAAUUGGACUCAACGCCGGACAACUCACCGGGGGCGACAGCAAUAUGUAGGCCAAGCUGAAGACUUUGCCUGAAUCGCUGAGAAGUGGUGCAUGG